rnacentral:rRNA from 1 species
CUUAUCUUCAAAAAAAAGUUAUCGAUAUAUUUGAUGUAAAUAUUAAUAUUAACGCUUUUCGUGAAUACAAACCUCGUAAUGACAAUUAUAAAUUUUUUAUACUUAAACCAAAUUUUGAUAAAAUUUUAUUUAAAAUAAACAAAUUUUUAUAAUUUUAUUUUAUUUAAAGCAUUAUUUUUAAAUAGGUUUGCUUCUUUGAUGUAUCUUCUUACCAUUUCAGUAGAUUUAUGUCCUGUCAUAGCCAUUAUACUUCUCUCUUCUGCCCCAGAUUCAGCUGCAGAGGUCGCAAAACCUGAUCUCAAGCUAUGUCCAGAAUAAUAACUGCUUUCAAUGCCUGCUAUUUUUAAGUAAUCUUUUAUAAGUAAAGCCACUGUUUGAUCACUUAAUCUAUUAUCAGAUAGUUUUGAUCCUUUGGUAAACCUUCUGAACAAAGGUCCGGAAUUUAUUUUUGAUAUUUCUAUCCAAUUUUUUAUUGAAACCACUGGACAAUAUUGUGAAUUGUCAAAGUAGGGUAGUCCUUUUACUAAGCCUUCUCCAAACUGGUCUGUUUUAGACCUUUUAAGGCUAACUUUAAGACCCUCUGGUACAAAAUCUAGAUCUUCAUAAUCGAGUGAAACUAUUUCAUUUCUUCUAAAUCCACCUGAAAAUCCAAUUAAUAUAAUUGAUCUGUCUCUUACUUUCUUAAUUUCUUCAUUUCUUACUUUAUCUAUAACAUUAAUAAUUUGUUUUAAAUUAUUGAUUAAUAAUGGUUUUUUUCCUUUUUGAACACUUCCUUUUCUUCUUUUAAUUCCCAUUAUAUUUUCAAUAAUUAAUGGGUGUUUUGUAUCCAAAUAGUGACCUUUAAGCUUAUGUAUAACUCCUAUUGAGACUAAUCUUCUCUUUAAAGUGCUCAUUUUCAUGUCUUUAGUUGAUAAAUAGGUCAAAUAUAAAGAAACUAUUUUUGGUUCUGAUGGAAGAGAUUUAAAUCCAUUUUGUGCACAGAACAAUCCGAAAUCAUUAAAAUCUGAUUUAUAAGCUCUUACGGUAUUGUUUGCCUUUGAGCUUUGAAGAUUUAAUAAAGUUUCUUCUUGUAAUGCUUUUAAAUCUGUUAUUACUUGAUUCAUAUUUAUUACUAUUGAUAACCAUUAAUUAUCGUUAGUAAUAUAUUAUCAUUUUUUAAAUGUCAAUUGUUUAUUUUAAAGAUUAUUUGAUCUCUGAUAAGAAAUUAUAAUGAAUGAUAUUUUAAGUAUUGUGGUUGCAGGUUUAUUCUCAUGCAUAAUUUUAGACAUUCUUGGAUAUGUUUUAAGAUUGAUUGGAAGACCUGUUUUUAGGCAACUAGAAAUGGGUGGCACAAGCCAGGGAGAAGCGACUGUUUAUCAAAAACACAGGGCUCUGCUAACACGUAAGUGGAUGUAUAGGGUCUGACGCCUGCCCGGUGCUGGAAGGUUAAUGCGGUUGGUGCAAGCUAACUUCUGAAGCCCCAGUAAACGGCGGCCGUAACUAUAACGGUCCUAAGGUAGCGAAAUUCCUUGUCGGGUAAGUUCCGACCUGCAUGAAUGGCGUAACGAUUUCUCCGCUGUCUCCAACAUCAACUCAGUGAAAUUGAAUUCUCCGUGAAGAUGCGGAGUUCGCGUAGUUAGACGGAAAGACCCCGUGCACCUUUACUGCAACUUUACAUUGGUAUUAGGAAAAACAUAUUUAGUAUAGGAGGGAGACAUUGAAGCAAAGGCGUCAGCUUUUGUGGAGUCGCCAGUGAAAUACCUCUUUUGUUUUUCUUGGUAUCUAACUGAUUGCCGUCAUCCGGCAUCAAGACAUUGUAUGGUGGGUAGUUUGACUGGGGCGGUCGCCUCCCAAAUAGUAACGGAGGCGUGCGAAGGUAGGCUCAGAACGGUCAGAAAUCGUUCGUAGAGUGCAAUGGCAUAAGCCUGCCUGACUGUGAGACUGACAAGUCGAGCAGAGACGAAAGUCGGUCAUAGUGAUCCGGUGGUUCUGAGUGGAAGGGCCAUCGCUCAACGGAUAAAAGGUACGCCGGGGAUAACAGGCUGAUACUGCCCAAGAGCUCAUAUCGACGGCAGUGUUUGGCACCUCGAUGUCGGCUCAUCACAUCCUGGGGCUGGAGCAGGUCCCAAGGGUUUGGCUGUUCGCCAAUUAAAGUGGUACGUGAGCUGGGUUCAGAACGUCGUGAGACAGUUCGGUCCCUAUCUGCUAUGCGUGUAGAAGAAUUGAGAGGAGUUGACCCUAGUACGAGAGGACCGGGUUGAACAUACCACUGGUGGACCGGUUGUAGCGCCAGCUGCAGUGCCGGGUAGCUAAGUAUGGAAGAGAUAACUGCUGAAAGCAUCUAAGCGGGAAACUCACCUCAAAACUAGUUCUUCCUAUAGAGCCGUGGUAGACCACCACGUUGAUAGGCUGGAUGUGGAAGCGCAGUAAUGCGUGCAGCUGACCAGUACUAAUAGCUCAAUUGGCUUGAUUUA